rnacentral:rRNA from 1 species
GUUUUGAACUCGUUGACAAGCGCCCAGGCGAGUUUUAGCGCGACCAUUGCGCCCGACGAGUCCGGAUUCGCAUAAGAUUCAAGGGCCGGAUGGACAAUCGCGGUAGCCUCGGGCAGCUCGGCACCUGCCUGGUGAUGGUC